UGAUGGGCCAGAUAGUAAUCAACCUAAUUAGAAAUUAAAUCCAUUAAUUUCAGGUAAAGCCCACUAAUUUCAGUCAAGGACAUUGACCCAUCUCUCAUUUUUGUUGGUCCAUGGAAAUUUUAAGCCAACAAUAAUUUGACAGAAAAUAUAUGCUCCUGUAAUUAAAAAAAGUAAAUUACAUAAACACACCCGAAAAUACACAAUUGUACAGGAGCAAAAAGAAAAGACGCAGAAAAGCUUAAUUUUACAAGCAUAUCUAGAAGAACACUAUGCUCUACUCCACACAACCAGCACCGGCGCCCAUAAAGCAAGGCCAAGCGCUUGCCGUACAUCAACCAUGAGUCAUCCUGCCUUUCUAGCCGCAUAUCUGCCCAUCCAUGCUAAAGUCAUCAGAACGCAUGUCGUUGCUAUUGAAUACUCCCAUGCACCAAUAUCUCCCACAUGAUGAAAAAUAUGUCACUUUAUAUAAGAUUAUACGGUCAGUAAGUAAACUAGAAGUAGCCACAUUAUAAGUUCUAUAUUUUUCACUCCCUACGUGCAAAGUACUGCAAAAAAUUGACAGUCACCACCGAUGAGGGGGCUAAAACCAUAGUUACAUGUGCGCCGACGAACCGUAAGACGGGCUUGGAAAAUCAGAAGAAGAAGGAAGGGGUAAAUCAGAAGCAAAAUGGAAGGAGGGGGAACCUCGCCAAUUAACUAACGAUGAGGAUACCUGACGCGUGCCGCGCGCCUGUGAAUCGGAGAGAGCAUACCUACACAACGCAUCCCCCAGCGGGCUGCUGGGCGUAGCACCCCAGUGACAGACGCGUGCCUGGCAGCGAUGAAGGGGCGGCGGUCGCCCAGCACGGCGCAGCCCCUGUCCGUCGUAGCACAAAUCCACCAGGCCAGACCGGCUCGAUGCGGCUACCUCGCAGCUUAGCACAUCUCCACGGGACUGAUCGGGAUAGGCGAGGUAGGGAGAGGCAUCCGUUGGGAGAUAGGGAUAGGUGUGCGGCAUGGGGGAAAGAAACCUGGCGGCUGGGAGAUAGGGUGAGGCAUCUUGGAGGGUUCUGGAA
rnacentral:lncRNA from 1 species